UCCACCUGUACAGCCCCCUGUCCCCCAGCUUGGAAGGGGAAAUGGGGGUGACAGCCCCGGUUCCAGCUCUUACAGGAGCCAAGUCAGACCCGGGCUGGCUUCUGGACACCCAACCUGCUGCCACGGGGCUCACCUUGUUUUACUCCUGUUUCCUCCUGUGUGAUCCGAGGAAAAUGAUCCCAGCACACAGGGGAGUUGAGGAUGAAAGGAGGUGAGGCAGGUAAGACCCAGGAUGCAACGAGUGAGAUGAGGUGGGUGUUGAGUAAGUGGGCUCCCACAGCUGAACCACAUAUUCGACCUCCACCUGGAGGGCCUUCUCUGCACCAAGGUUGCUGGAGAAGGGGGUGGGGGGUGAUGCUGUCCUUGGGCAGAAGGAGAUGGAUGGUGUCACGAUUGAAUAGCACGCUCCUCCCCACCCCAGAUGUAUCAAAGUCCAACCCCGGUGCCUGUGAAUGUUAUCUGGAAAGUCUUCAUAGAUGUAAUUAAGAUGAGGUUGUAUCGGAUUAGGAUGGGCCCAGAGUUCUUAGGAAACAGGGAAAUUUGGACACAUACACACAGGGGAGAAGACCACCUGGAGACGGAGCAGAGAUUAGAGCGACGUAGCUACAAAGCACGGAACGCCGAGCAUGCGUGCAACACAGGAAGCUGGGACAGGCAGGGAAGUUUCUCCCCAGAGCCUUUGGAAGGAGCGUGGCCCUGCCAACACCUUCUUCAGCUCAGCCUUCUAACCUCCAGAACUGUGAGGGAAAAAAUUUCUGCUGUUUUAAGCCAUGCAGUUUGUGAUAAUUGAUUACAGCAACUGCAGGAAACUAAUACACAAGGGGGCAGAUUGCUGCUGCUUUUAAAGAUAAUAACAGGAGCGAGAGGUUACCGGCCCAGAGGCCGGAGCCGAAUGCCCUCGGUCACAAGCGGGAUGGCUCCCUGGCCAGGCUGUCGGCCCCAGAACACAGCCCAGUCCAUCUUUUCUCAUAAAAGCGUGGUGCUGACUCGGUAAAAGCUCUCAAAGGAGAAACAACGCUGGUGCCCAGGCAGGCUGUGGAUCAUGCUGGUUCUCCCCCCACAGACCCCCAAACGUGGGCUCUCAGGGCACCUGGGAGCGUCAUCCAGGCACAUCCAGCGGGAGGGGCGCGGUCCCUCGAGCCCGACUUCCAGAUCAACUCUGCUCAAUCGUCUCCCUCUGACUCUGCUAAAUAUAGCCCACGCUCAACUUCUGUGCUUAUUUGAAUAUGGGGCUCUGGAGACGAGUGAUUCUGGAGAAAAUUGCAGCUGGGGGGCUGGGCCGUGUGGGGGCUCCUUGGACCCAGGCGAGACAAACCCAGGAUGCUUGAUACCCUUGCCCUAAUCCCUGCCUCGGACCUCCGGAAGCCCUCUCUUGGCCACCAGUUCUGGGGUCCUCAGAAGGCGGGGAUGGAGGGUGGAUAGAGACUGUGAAUGCGUCUUGUCUAAAGUUGGCGUCCUCAUUUUCCAUCUUGUUCCCUAUCACUCAUUCAUUCAACAAACGUUGGCAACCAGCCUAAGUGCUUGGUGCGGCAUUUGACCCAAGAGAUACACGUUCUCCUAUCUAGUGCCCGUGUCUUGGGCACAAGCACCCAAGGCCUGGGGAAUGGGACUCACCGGGCUUCCUGCACCUGAUGAUGCUUGGUUUUCAUCCGUUCUGGAAAGCGCUUGGCCAGCAUCUCCUCAUAUUUCACCUCUUCCAGGAAAAUAGACCAGCCUCCUCCUCAUCUCCUUGCCCUGGGACAGGUAAUUUCUUUUGAAGCUGUGGGCCUUAAGAGGUUGCUUUUCUCUACCUCAAACCACAGGCCACGCCUCCGGCUUCCAGGGAGGGGUCGAUACCCAAGCCUCUCGGUGCAGGGCUUGGAAACGCCCCUUGGCCUCAUAGACUUAAAGUCUGUACGUUUCCGCUGACCACCUGGGAGUCUUCAUAUCCAGCUUCAUUUGGGCCACACCACCCUGAGGAAGGGGCAGUUUCCGUCUUUCUUGCAACCUCAGCUGUGCCUUCACCUGGACAUUGCCUUUUGUGAUGGUUUAUUUUCUGAAAAGAAAACUUUCCAGUUACUUAGGCUGAAGUAGAACUAAGUUGGUAACCUCCCCAAGGGCAUUUAUAUUUCAAGAGUGGCUUUUCUUAUGAGACAGAACAAAGAACUUGGGCUUUGGAAUCAGAUACCCCCUGGGCUCAAACCCCUUUGAUGCUCACCACUAUGGCAACCUGGACAGGCCGCUUCUCUGAGCUUUAGGAGCAUCGUCUAGUUAACUGUGGACAAAACAUAUUGGGAUUAGUUUCCCACAGCUGCUGUAACAGAUGACCACAAAUUUAGAGGCAUAAAACACCACCAGUGUAUCAGUUUACAAUUCUGGAGGUCAAAGUUGAAGAUGGGUCUCAUGGCUAAAAUCAAGGUGUCAGCAAGGCUGUGUCCCUUCUAAAGAUUCUGGGAAAGAGCCUGUUCCUGCCUUUUCCUCCUUCUGGAGGUUGCCUGCGUUCCUUGGUUCGUGGCCCCUCUACAUCCUCAAAGCUGUCAAUGGCUGGUCAAAUCCUUGUCACAUCUCAUCACUUGGACACUGACCCUCCUGCCCCUCUUGUGGUUCCAUUGUGCCCUUGUGGAUUAUCCAGGACAAUCUCCCUGACUUUGACUCCUGAUUAGCAACCUUAAUUCCAUCUGCAACCGUAAUUCUCCCGUCUUCUCCCUUGCCAGAGUUCUCCAGAGAGGCAGAUGUGUAUGUUUCUCCAGAGAAGCAGAACCAAUAGGAGAUAUCUAUCUAUCUACAAAAUGAAGGUGGGCAGCACUCAUGAUGUCCAGCCAGCAAGCUGGAGACCCAGGAGGGCUGAUAGUGUAAUUCAAGUCUGAGUCCAAAAGCCUAAAGAAUCAGGUGAGCCAAUAGUGUAAGCUCCAGUCCAAAAAUCAGCAGGCUUAAGACCCAGAAGAACCAGUGUUUCAGUUUCAGUACAAAGGUGAGAAAUGGUCAAUAUCCCAGCUCAAGACAGUCAGGCCUUAUUCAUGGAAGGGUCAGCCUUUUUGUCCUAUUCGGGUCCUCAACUGAUUAGACAAGGCCCACUGACACUGGAGAGGGCAAUCUGCUUACUGGCCUACUC
ensembl:lncRNA